GGCUACGCUUGAUAUGAAGUCAGGUCCGUAAUUGAAGGAACUAAACCCUAGGCUUCUCGCGAUCGUCUCCUUCUUCCUUCUACGAGACUUCUCAUCUUCAUCUGUAUCAUCUCUACCACUGAAACGCUUCCGAUUAUUUCUUCUUCAUGUUUAAUCUCAAUUAGAUAUGUUCUAUAAUAAGACAUGUUCGGCGUUUCUGAUUUUAAAGUUUCAUCAUUCUCUCUUCUCUGCUGUAGCAGUUGUCUGCCGUAGCAGUUGUCCGCCUCCUUAGUUUUGGGAAUCGGUGGCGAGCUCAGAGGUAUCAGCAAGCUAAGAUAUUCCCAGCCUAGAAACACAUAGAAACAAAGAUUUUAAAAUACAUAAGCUGAUUAUCACAAAAAAUUUGGGAGCUGUUUUUUUUUCAUUAGUUAAUUUUGAUUAACUGUGUUCAUGUUUUGCAGCAGACGCUCAUGAAAUCCACCGUCAAUGUCCACCAUCUGAAUGCAUUCAACAUCUUUUCAAAGCGGGUUCGAUGUACUCUUAUCACCGGAUUUGAUAUUACUCGGAGCCAUCUUAGGAACAACGGGGAAAGUAAACAACAGAGUUUGGAUGGUCUGAUCAAAGAAAUUUGUAGAAUGCUUUGGUGAGUUUGUGUGGAUGGUCAGGGUGAAAGAAGAAGUUGUAGAAGGAACAAUGCAUCUUCUGUCCCUGGUGAUCAUUGAGGCUGGAAGAAAGAGCUUUAAGAAGCAAAUUGUGGGGUUGCAGAACUCAAGCUUGCUGUUGAUGAUGCCGCUACCAUUACUCCCUCUGAUCUUAGCUGCAAAAAGAUAACAAUGCAUCUGGAUGGAGGGAAGUUUCAAGAGACACAUAGAUAAGAGAAUCAUGCCGUCAAGACCAUCCAAGAGAUAUAUGGCACAAUAAGUUUAUAAGCAAGUCUAAGAAUUUAUAUUUAAAGAUGAUGAUUCUGAUUUCUGAAACACACAGAGAAGAUGUUAUCAAACUUAUCGUGCCAUAUAAGGAACUUUCACUGAGAA